rnacentral:ncRNA from 12 species
GGGUGCAGCGGGUCGUGUGCGCUGCAGGCAGCUGGAUGGUCGGGCCGCCAUCC